rnacentral:tRNA from 1 species
GGGGUGCUAACUCAACGGAGAGUACUCGGCUUUAA